rnacentral:lncRNA from 1 species
CAAAUGAUGAGCAGACGGGAGGAUCACCUCUCUUGACCUGCUGGCAAUACUUUACCUAAUGCAACCAAGAAUACUGUUAGUCUUCUCAGUGGCAAGGACACAUUGUUGGCUCAUGUUCAACUUGCUGUCUAUCAGGACAUUCAGGUUGUAAGUUUGUAACAUUUCAAAAUAGUCAAAUAAAUUAUCUGGAAUGAAGAGCACCCUGAAUUAUACAACAAGGAAAACUCAGACUCUGGCAAGUCUACAGCGUCCCUUUGGCACAGAUUGUGAAGUUCUGUGGAAAAACAUCCUAAGAGAUGGUGUCAACCACUUCAUAUAUUAAAAUACUGUUCCACUGCAGAAGGGGAAAAGGUUUCAGAAAUGGUUGUGUUCCUGGCCCCAGGGCAGUCUUACAGCUUUGGGCAUGGAAAGAGUCUGCUUAACAGAAAUCUUGAAAAAGACACUGGGGGCUAUGAAACAGGAAGUUCAGUAGAUUCAUUCCUUGCUGUCAGCCCCUUUUCCUCCUUGGUCGCUGGAUUACAGUGCUCCAGGAGGCUUAUCUCAGAGCUGAACAAGAGCAAUGUUGAUGCUAAUGUAUGCAUUGUAAACAGUCAGACAAAAUUCUACUCUAAUUGUCUUAAAUAUCUAAUCUAAUGGAUUUUUACUUCCUCUGUUAACCGUAAUGUUUAUUUUUCAUCUUUUUACUAAUAAAAUAUGUAUAUUAUGUAUAUCA